GUCACUGGGGACCUGUGCAGAGCUGAGUGUCUGCCCCCCACCAUGUGACAACAGAGAAGUAUGAGUCAGUCCUCUGUUUAUGCUUAGUGACAGUGGAGUCCAGAGGGGAGGUGAUCUUAAAACCUCAUUCAGAGCCAACAUGGAAGUGCUUCAGUGAGCUGUGUUCAUGAAGAAGCAGAACAAUAGAGGUCGAAUGAGGAGGAAAAUCAUUAAGGACAAUGGAGAUCCUCUUGAUAAAGAUUACGGCCGAGCAGCAGGAUAGAAGCAAAGCACCCAGCUCCACACUCGUGGUUCCUGAUACAUAGAGGAAACCAGCAACUUUCCAUCUCAUUGAGGGGAGAAACUGGCAAGUUUAUUAUAUUCUCCUGGGUCUAAUCAGGAAACCAAAAUAGGAAAACUUAUAUAUUCUCAUCAAGGAAGCUGUUGGGCGGUGUG
rnacentral:lncRNA from 1 species